CACGACAGUACAGCAUAAAUAAAAACCCUAAAAUUCACGGUUUCCUCUACACGACCUAGAACCAUCCGAAACAUUCCCCAAAUUAACCAAACGACGAACACAUCGGUAGCCGACGUCUGGACCGGCGGUUUCACAGUACUCGAUCGUCUUAUUGACGCUGGGAUUGGUACUAUAUCAAGGUCUAUAACUUCUAUCCUGAGAAGAAAAGAUGGAGUCUUGCACCACCCCGAGUUCAAUCAAUCCAUCGCCGAAUAUGGUCAGACAUUCAUCCGUAAGCGUGUUAACGAGGAAGAUGCAAUGCUGAUAGGUGUCGAUGUUCUCGUUCGUUAUACGUUGAUAGGUUCUAGAGGUGUCGGUUUCAUCUAUUUUAUGAAAAGUCAUUUCGACUGGCUGAAAGAAAGUAAGUUGGAUAUGGAGCGACUCAGGGUAAGAUCCUUCCAAGAAUUCGAACAAGAAUUGGAGUAAAUCAUGCAACAGUAUCAAAUUUCCAAGCGAAGUGUCAUGGGAGGCAAUGCGCCAAAAGCUGCAGAUGGAGCUCAUGCCAAGGCAAAGAAUGAUGAAAAAACCAUGACUGGGGCAGUUAAGGCUUGAAGAAGAAUGCCCAACAUCUGAAGAAAAAAUUCUAAGCUAGGGAAAAAGAGGGGAUGGAUGAUACUUCUUGGUAUAUUUAGCAAUUUCCGGUUAUUCUAUUUUUGUAUAUUUAGCAAAUUCCGGUUAUUCUAUUUUUGUAUACAAGUUAAGCCUCAGAGAGCCAAAACAUUGAGGUGAAUUAUUGCUAAUUACCUGCUGUGUGUUCAUAGUACUA